rnacentral:rRNA from 1 species
CCUACGGGUGGCAGCAGUGAGGAAUAUUGGUCAAUGGGCGAGAGCCUGAACCAGCCAAGUAGCGUGAAGGAUGACUGCCCUACGGGUUGUAAACUUCUUUUAUAUAGGAAUAAAAUGUGCCACGUGUGGGAUUUUGUAUGUACUAUAUGAAUAAGGAUCGGCUAACUCCGUGCCAGCAGCCGCGGUAAUACGGAGGAUCCGAGCGUUAUCCGGAUUUAUUGGGUUUAAAGGGAGCGUAGGUGGGUUGUUAAGUCAGUUGUGAAAGUUUGCGGCUCAACCGUAAAAUUGCACUUGAUACUGGCAGUCUUGAGUACAGUUGAGGUAGGCGGAAUUCGUGGUGUAGCGGUGAAAUGCUUAGAUAUCACGAAGAACUCCGAUUGCGAAGGCAGUUCACUAAACUGCCACUGACAUUGAUGCUCGAAAGUGUGGGUAUCAAACAGGAUUAGAUACCCGAGUAGUC